GGGAAUAUUGGACAAUGGGCGCAAGCCUGAUCCAGCCAUGCCGCGUGAGUGAUGAAGGCCUUAGGGUUGUAAAGCUCUUUUACUCGGGAAGAUAGUGACGGUACCGAGGGAAUAAGCCCCGGCUAACUUCGUGCCAGCAGCCGCGGUAAUACGAAGGGGGCUAGCGUUGUUCGGAUUUACUGGGCGUAAAGCGCACGUAGGCGGAUCUUUAAGUCAGGGGUGAAAUCCCGAGGCUCAACCUCGGAACUGCCUUUGAUACUGGGGAUCUUGAGUCCGGAAGAGGUGAGUGGAACUGCGAGUGUAGAGGUGAAAUUCGUAGAUAUUCGCAAGAACACCAGUGGCGAAGGCGGCUCACUGGUCCGGAACUGACGCUGAGGUGCGAAAGCGUGGGGAGCAAACA
rnacentral:rRNA from 1 species